rnacentral:lncRNA from 1 species
UGCUGGAGAUACAGCAGUGAAAACAAAGAGCAAACCCUGACCCUUGUGAAGUGAAUUGUCAGGAGCUCAGCUGAGCUGGGAGAGAGAGAGCUCUCAGAGUAGCCGGUUACAGCAACAAGCCAGAGAUAAAAGAACCGAGCCUUUAAUCACUCACGGCAAUGGUAAAAGCAAGAGCUUAAAGCAGUUUUAUGGACCCUGAAGCAGGAGGGCAGCGGCGAGAGCUUGGAGUGGACAAGUCCUGGGUGAUGAGUCAGAGUAGGGGAAUGUAUCAUCAAGGUCUCCCUCCUCCCCGCAUAAGGAGGUCUUGGCAAAGGCAUCUGAAAAGGACGUCUACCCAAGGUCUGCCAGAGACUAGCAAUGAAGACUCUGGGGCCAGGAAUGUAAACAUAGGAAAAGCAUGACUGACCGGGAGAGCCUGAGUCCUUGACUGCAACUUCCUUCAGAGACCGUGACCCACUGGCUGUGCACCAAAUGUCUCUCAGAGAGCAGCAGCUUUCUGUAUGAGGUCUGCCAGGGUCUCACUCUGUUACCCAGCCUGGAGUGCAGUAGUAUGAUUAUAGCUCCCGGCAACCUCGAACUCCUCGGCUCAGAAGCCAGCCACUAUGCUAUAAAGAACUUUGGGCUGGACUACUGAAUGAAGAGAGGUCACCUGGAGAAGCCCUAGAAGAUGAGAAGUGAUUUUAUAUAUUCCAGCUGCAACUGAAUGGAACGUCUGUUGUGGGUUUCCUUUCCCUUUCUAACUAUUGCAUUCCUGGUGGGGAUGAGGGAGUUAGGGGUAUCUGGGGAGGAUCAGAAAACAGUUUACAGGUCUUUAGAUCCAGGAAAGCUGUACCAGAGGAGCUACAUCCACAUCUGGACAUAUAACUGAUCGUGAAUAUUGGGCCUGAUGCUUUGAUAGGAUAAGACUUUGCAGUAUGUUGGGAGGGGUUGAAAGAAUGUAAAUAAUUCAUUGCCAGAGGGCAGACUGUCGUUGACUCAAGAUGGUCAUGGUUUUAUUGCCACUUCUCUGAACAAGAGACAGAGUCUAUUUGCCGCCACCCCCACCCUCUCAUGAACUCUGGGCUGGCCUUGUGACUUGCUUGGACAAACAGAAGGCAACAAAGUUGCCGUGUGACUUUCAGACAAUAGUGUUCUGGAAAACCAGAUCUAUAAAAAAAUUUGUUAAAGCCCUAAUUUAGAUCACUUGCCUAUUUCUGUGGUGUAAAUACUCCCACCACGGCUGAUUUCAAGCUAUCAGCGUGAUAUCACCGACCAUGGAGUUGGGAAUAGACAAGCACAGCUGGCUUUCAGGAGCCUGUGCAAAUUGGCUCCAGCAUGUCACCACUCUCAGACCUUGUCCUUGAGAAGCUCUGUCAGCUUCCAUUUUUGCUUCCUUGAAAUCCACCCAACAUGAAGGAUCUUCAAGAUAGGCUCAUGAAUGAUGAGAGGCCGAAUGGAAAGAAAGGACAAGUAGAAAAGGAAGGAGCCUUAGGCAUUCUUGCCUCAAACUGGCUCCCAGCUAAGUACAGCUGUAUUAGGGACCCUGGCCAACAUUACAUGGAGCAGAAGACCACCUCACCAAUCCAGAGAAAUAUGAGAAAUAAUAAAUUGUUGUGCAUUGAAGCCACUAUAUUUUGGAGUGGUUCUUUUUUUUU